rnacentral:rRNA from 1 species
UUAUGUGAUCGUCUCUCGCAUAUCAAUAAGCGGAGGAAAAGAAACUAACAAGGAUUCCCCUAGUAACGGCGAGUGAAGCGGGAAGAGCUCAAAUUUGAAAUCUUAAAGGGUUUCCCUUUACGAAUUGUAGUUUAAAGAAGUGUUUUCUGUUGAGGUUUUGGUAAAAGUUCUUUGGAAUAGGACAUCAUAGAGGGUGAGAAUCCCGUAUUUGACCUUUACUUUCAACUUUGUGAUACACUUUCAAAGAGUCGGAUUGUUUGGGAAUGCAGUCCAAAAUGGGUGGUAAAUUUCAUCUAAAGCUAAAUAUUGGCGAGAGACCGAUAGCGAACAAGUACCGUGAGGGAAAGAUGAAAAGAACUUUGAAAAGAGAGUUAAACAGUACGUGAAAUUGUCAAAAGGGAAGCGUUUGACACCAGUGUUGUUUUUCUGAAAAUCAAUUAAAGAACUGUUUAUGCUAAGUUGUUUAGACUUUAUCAGCUAACUGUUUAGUUUUGAGCUUUUCUUUAAUGCACUUUUCAGUUAACAAGUCAACAUCAAUUUCUUUUGCUGUAAAAAAGCUUGAGGAAGGUGGCUUGAGAUUCGUCUUAAGUGUUUAUAGCCUCUUGCCUAUGCAGUCGGAGAGAUUGAGGUCUGCAGCGUAGAUCCUUCGGGGCUAAAUGCAUUUGUGCUAAGUUAUAGCAUUUUAUAGACAACUUGUUGACUAUGAUUUGUCUUGUAGCUUACUCGCUUAUGUUAUUUUACCUACGCUUAGGAUGUUGACACACGCGCGUGCUCG